rnacentral:ncRNA from 1 species
UAGAAAGAGCAUUCGUACUUGUUUAUGUGUAUUUGUAGGAAAAAUAUUUGUUUCCAAAGCUCAAGGAACAUAGAGAAAUGUGAUUGUUAGUUUUUAUGGUUUAUUGAAAUUUAUAAAUAAUUAGGAGUAAAUUUAUUUGUCGGUUUUUUUUCUAAGUGGUGAACAAUUGAAUCAGAAAUACUACGGACAAGGGGAAUUUGACUAUUUAAUUAAAACAAAGCAUUGUAAUAAUCCCUGUAGAUGCUGAUGCAAUGUGAACGAGAUUCCCAUUGUCCCUAUCUAGCGAAACCAAAGCCAAGGAAACGGGCUUGG